GAAAAAAGGCGCUUCUAGCUUCAGUGAUGCAAGAACAUUUGAGCAUACACGUAAUCUCUGAGCAAAAGCAGAGCCUAUUCAUAAAAGAACAAUGUAUAUUUAAAAGCACACAUCCAGUUUUGUGUGAGUGAAGGAAAUCCACUUGCGAGUGGAGAUUCGUGCUCACGCAUUACAUGGAUCACGUAACAUUAUGCGCUCUCGAUAUCUGUCAAAUAUCACGCUAUAGAAACCGCCUAAAAUUAAGUAUAAAGAGGAGAAGAAAGCGGCCCUAGGCAGCUACACAUGCCAGGAUCCGCCACUGCCAGAUGCAGUUUACAAGUCUAUUGCAAGACAUCUGGUGGGGGUGGGGGGGAGACACCUGGGGUGGCCAGCCAAAUUUCAGGGGGGGCCGGUGCCACCCCUGGCCACCACGUAGACACGCCUCUGGUUAGAACUAAACUCUGCAGGGCUACGGCCCUCCAGGAACUGAGUUUGACACCCCUGGGAUAGGCCUAUUAAUCUCAAACUAGUUGUUUUUAAUUAAAGAAAUCAGUUAUUUAGAAUAAUAAGACAUUUGGGCUGUUACCAGGCAAAUCAGUAUCAACAAACUCAUCUUUUCAAUGCAGACGAAAUGCAGAAGCUUCAUCGGAAGUGGCAUUUAGAUGUAUUUACACACUGUAGGACAAGAAUGCAUUUAACCUGCAGUUACAAAUGCACAAAUAAUGUUUUGAUAUUACAAGACAUAAAAUGUUCAAUACUUAUUUGAAAUUAUAAGAAAUUAAUUAUUUUAAAAAAAUCAAAAGAUACUUUAAAUGUGAAAUUAAAAUGGCCAGUAUGUGUCAGCAAGUCUGUUAAUAAGUGAUUCAUUGAGAUUGAACGAAUCAUUUAAACGGUUGAUUCAUUCAGGAACGAAACACUGUUAUGUUGCUCAGAGACGCAAAACUGUGCUUUGGUGGCUGUGUUGGGAAUUAUUUUUUGCUGUAGAAAUAGAGCAAAUAUAUAUAUAAUCAUGAUGAUUUUUGGAGGAAAACACGGCAUUCUUUGUGUGAUUUUGAUGAUAUACUAUAUGAAAUGAUAUAAAUAUGUACAUUUUCUGCACUUAUAUCUCCAAUUUUGUGAUCAUUCUAAAUGCAUUUUACAAGACUGAAUCACACAGUGAAAGAACGGACUAUAAAUGCGCGCGCACAUCAUUAAAACAACAAUUAUGAUAUUAUCGCAGACAAUAUACAGUAUAUUGCACACUCCGCACCACUGUCUUUUUGGCUAAUUUGUGCAAAACUUAUUGCUAAAAUGUCAAAGCUUCAUUUUAACCACCAGUGCAACAAUGCAAUUGUUUAGCUUACCUCUACAUGCUUGCAAAGGGUUGAUGUC
ensembl:lncRNA